rnacentral:snRNA from 1 species
AGUUCCCAAAAUGGAUAAAA